rnacentral:rRNA from 1 species
GACGAACGCUGGCGGCGUGCCUAAUACAUGCAAGUCGAACGCACAGUUUAUACCGUAGCUUGCUACACCAUAGACUGUGAGUUGCGAACGGGUGAGUAACGCGUAGGUAACCUGCCUGGUAGCGGGGGAUAACUAUUGGAAACGAUAGCUAAUACCGCAUAAUAUUAAUUAUUGCAUGAUAAUUAAUUGAAAGGUGCAAUUGCACCACUACCAGAUGGACCUGCGUUGUAUUAGCUAGUAGGUGAGGUAACGGCUCACCUAGGCGACGAUACAUAGCCGACCUGAGAGGGUGAUCGGCCACACUGGGACUGAGACACGGCCCAGACUCCUACGGGAGGCAGCAGGAGGGAAUCUUCGGCAAUGGACGAAAGUCUGACCGAGCAACGCCGCGGGAGUGAAGAAGGUUUUCGGAUCGUAAAGCUCUGUUGUAAGAGAAGAACGGGUGUGAGAGUGGAAAGUUCACACUGUGACGGUAUCUUACCAGAAAGGGACGGCUAACUACGUG